rnacentral:rRNA from 1 species
CAGUAGCGUAUAUUAAAGUUGUUGCAGUUAAAAAGCUCGUAGUUGGAUUUCUGUUCUCGGGGAUUGGUCCGCCUCACGGUGAGCACUGGUAUCCUGGGGACAUCCUCUCGAAGGCGGGUGGUGCACUUAAUUGUGUGCUGCUUGGAUUCGGGACCUUUACUUUGAAAAAUUAGAGUGUUCAAAGCAGGCGUCGGCUUGAAUACAUUAGCAUGGAAUAAUGGAAUAGGACUUUGGUUCUAUUUUGUUGGUUUCUUAGGACCGAAGUAAUGAUUAAUAGGGACAGUUGGGGGCAUUAGUAUUUAAUUGUCAGAGGUGAAAUUCUUGGAUUUAUGAAAGACUAACUACUAGCGAAAGCAUUUGCCAAGGAUGUUUUCAUUAAUCUAAGAACGAAAGUUAGGGGAUCGAAGAAUGGAUUAGAACCA